rnacentral:sRNA from 1 species
AGACCUACUCGAUGUUUCAGGGAUAGAUAGAUUAGGCGUUCAUUUCGACAUACUUCAUGUUUAAAAAGCCUCUUCUAGGCCGGGUGCGGUGGCUCAUGCCUGUAAUGCCAGCACUGUGGGAGGCUGAGGCGGGCGGAUCACGAGGCACCACAGUACCAGCACUGCUGAACAGUACUUCCAACCAACUCUACCUGCAUUUCCAGUCUGACAUUAGUGUGGCAGCUGCUGGUUUCCACCUGGAAUACAAAACUGUAGGUCUUGCUGCAUGCCAAGAACCAGCCCUCCCCAGCAACAGCAUCAAAAUCGGAGAUCGGUACAUGGUGAACGACGUGCUCUCCUUCCAGUGCGAGCCCGGGUACACCCUGCAGGGCCGUUCCCACAUUUCCUGUAUGCCAGGGACCGUUCGCCGUUGGAACUAUCCGUCUCCCCUGUGCAUUGCAACCUGUGGAGGGACGCUGAGCACCUUGGGUGGUGUGAUCCUGAGCCCCGGCUUCCCGGGUUCUUACCCCAACAACUUAGA